rnacentral:rRNA from 1 species
CCUACGGGUGGCAGCAGUGGGGAAUAUUGCACAAUGGGGGAAACCCUGAUGCAGCGACGCCGCGUGAGCGAUGAAGUAUUUCGGUAUGUAAAGCUCUAUCAGCAGGGAAGAAAAUGACGGUACCUGACUAAGAAGCCCCUGCUAACUCCGUGCCAGCAGCCGCGGUAAUACGUAGGGGGCAAGCGUGAUCCGGUAUUACUGGGUGUAGAGCGAGCGUAGACGGUACUGCAAGUCAGAUGUGAAAGCCCGGGGCUCAACCCCGGGACUGCAUUUGAAACUGUAAGACUAGAGUGUCGGAGAGGAAAGUGGAAUUCCUGGUGUAGCGGUGAAAUGCGUAGAUAUUAGGAGGAACACCAGUGGCGAAGGCGACCUGCUGGACGAUGACUGACGUUGAGGCUCGAAAGCGUGGGGAGCAAACAGGAUUAGAUACCCCUGUAGUC